CAAAAACAAUAUUCAUUUAUUGUCAUUAUAAUUAUAAUAACCACAAAAAGACGUGAUGAAUAAUUUAUACAUAUAACUGAUUAAUGUUAUUAACAAUUACAAUAUAGUAAAAUAGACAUCAUUAAAUGUAAGUAGAGGUGCACCAUGUCAGUGUAGUAGUGGACGGCAUUUGAAACUGUUAUUUCAUGUCAAUACUGCGGCUGCGAAGUAAAUAGGUAUUUAGUUGCUGUUACGAAAUCACGACUUACAACUAAAGCUACGAGCACCGAUAUCGACAACCAACACGAAUAAACUGAUGUACAUUUCAAGAAUAUUAUGCAGUAUAUGAGCAUAAUGUAUGUUAAUAUUCCACCUUUAGCCAAACCUCUCAUGAUGAUUAUUAUUUACAUCAAACCAGACGUUUAGCGUUUCAACCGACAACGGAGUUGUGUUGUACUACUUCAUUUCUUACCCCCACCGCUUAUCACUGUUCAAAUGAAUAAUCAAAACGCUGGUCCGUCCAAAAACGCUUCUUUUCUUUGUUAGUUUGUGUUUCUUAUCGUUUGAUGUAUUAGUUAACCUUUUGAAGGAAAUGAACCACAUUACUUAAUAUUCACUAUCGUUUAUUAAAAUAUAGCAAUUAUUGAACAUCACAAAUCACUUCUAAUCUUAUUAAUAUUCUUUAUUAAUACCGUAUCGUAAACUUUGUUCUUAGUCGAAAAUUUUGGCGUUGUAUUUUACAUUCACAAGUAUAAAAUAAAAAUCGUACAAAAUACGAAGUUGCUGUUACGUAAGAUUCAUUCGUUUCAUGUUGUAGUUCCCCCACUUCUUACACCGUUUGGUUAGCAGCCAUUUGCAACCAUUUCUCGAUUAGCGCUUGCCGUGUGAGUAUCCAUCCAGUUACUGUUAGGAUUACCAUGCGUUGUUGAUUCCUUAAAUUUGUUGAGUUUGUUAAUGCUAACUGAUAAAUGUUUUAUAACCAACUGUAAAAUGGACAGACUUAAUGCAAGUGAUGAAGAAUCUGUCAAUGCAGAACGCAAUGAAAACAAAGAAGAUUUAUGCGGGCUAAAGAAGUAUUUGCCAUUUUUACAAAAUAUUAUUGAUAAUGCAAAAGAUUUGGAUAUUCAAGACUCGCAUUUGGAAAAAUUACGAUCAUUGUAUGAUAUGGUGGAUAAAAAAAAAUUAUUUAUUGGAUUGGUUUUACCAUUUGGAUUACCUGCUGCUAAAAUAAAGUGUUGUCAAAAUGUGAUUGACAAUUUGUACAAUAAAUAUCGUGAGGAUAUCAAUGCAUUAGUUAAAAAUAAUAUAGAGAAAAAAACUCAAAUUGAACAAAAAGAAUCUAAAAAAAGAUCAAAAGAAGACUCAAAUAGCCACGAAACAAAUUUUAAUCAUAGUGCUGAAAUGAAGGAAGAAUCAAUUUAUUAUAUGCAAAGCGUAGAUAAAAAAUAUAUUAAACCUAUUGAAGAAGAUAUUUCAAAAUCACAUAAUGAUAUGUCUUCUACAACCUCAAAUGAAAACCAGAGUGGUUUUUUGGAUAGUCGUUUAAGACUUAAUAAGUUUAUUGGUAUUGCUGCUAAUGCUACUUUAGAGAAACUUAAUAACACAGAUACAACAAAUAAGAUGAGUGAUUCAACCAUAAAAGAACUUGCAAAACAAGUAUAUGAUGGAUUAAAAAUGAAUCAACAAUUAGCUGGUAUGGAUAUUUUGAAUGGUGUAGAUUUAAAUGGAGUUGAUCUUAGUACUGUGAAAGAAGCUUUAAAAAAUGUGAAUCUUAAAAAAUUAAAUUAUUUGCCAUUACAACAGCCACCACUUCCACCUUCCAAUCUUUUAAAUGAAUGUGAUAUUGAUAAGCCCAAUGAAGUUUCAACAAUACAAUACAAUCAUAAUGUUGAAAUCCAAAAAUUAGCAAAAAUAGUUCAAGAAGACAAACAACAUUUAACUGAAAGUAUAUCAUCUAAGAAAAAUAGUAUUCGUGAUAAAUUAACCAGUGAUAUAAAUAUUAUCCACAAAAUUGGUAUAUCAACUGAAUUAAAGCCUAAAUGUAUUUCUGCAUUAAAACCUGGUACAUUAUUAGACCUUGAAAACUCAAAAAUUUCUCGUUCAUCUUUACACAUUGAGUCAUUAAGACCAAUAUCUAAAUCAAAUGACAAUAGCUCUAGUACUAAUUCUUUAAAAGCAGACAAAAUCAUUCAUCGUGAUCCAAGAAUGAGAAAAAAGUCUCUUACUUUUUCUAAUAAAGAAACAAUAAAAAUUAAUGAAAUUCCACCACUAAUGGCUUUAAAAAUUUGUCCACCACUUAUGGAUUUAAAAAUAUGUCCACCUGAAAUGCUUGAACUAAGACAACAAAAUCCUCAUUUAGAAAUGAAUCCUUGCCAUAAUGAACCAUUUAAUAAUACUCAGUUAAAAUCCUCUAAUAUUCAAUUAUCUUCAUGUGAUAAUAAAACUUUUGACAAUCGAAAACUACCAGAACAUAAUGGUGGCCAUAGUGAGCUUUGUGAAAAUGUUUGUCGUUCAUAUGUACAGAUAUCAAAUAAUCAAAGUUUUGAAACACAUUCUAUAAAUACUCAAACUAAUUUUAAAACAAAUGAUUGUCAAAAUAUAGAUUCCCAAAGGAAUGACUUAAUUCAUAAUUUUCCUAUAAGCACCUCAGUUGAUCAAAAUAAAAGUACUUACUAUUUUCAACAUGAAAAUUUGGGUAGACCAAAUGUAUCUAGAAAUUAUAAUGAUAGUAAGUCUUAUUGGAACGAUACUAAGUCAUUGAGAGCUGAUAACAAAGUAAUUGAACCUCAUUAUCGUAGCUAUAAGGAGUAUAGAGAAGCUAAAUAUGGCAAAGAAAAAAGUGGUGGAAAGCCAUAUUUUAAGCAUAACAAUAGAGAAAGGAAUAGGUUUCGAGAAAAUAACAGAGAUUAUUGUGAGAUUGACAAACAUAAAGUUGAUAAAUCUAAAGAUAGUAAUAUUUUUAACAGUUAUGGUGUCAUUAAAGAUUCAUCUAGUAUUAAGAGUUUUAAAAUACCUAAAAUUAAACGAAACACUGACAGUAUUGAAUCUAAUAGUACAACUAAUAACAUUGAAUUGGAAACUUCAAAAAUUAGACAAAAAAAUUCUAAAGCAUCUGGUAAGACAUUAAAUACUGUUUCGGAAAAAGAAUCUGCAAGGAAGAGUUACGAAGUUCUCAAUUCUGAUAUUAAUAACAUAAAUGAAUCAAAAAUUUGUGAGGAAAAAAAAUCUAUAAACGAAAAUGUAGAUAAAAUAAUUCAACCUCAAGAAACUAGAAAAUCUAAAAAACCAAAAAAAUAUAGCAAAGAGAAAGAAUUUGAAAAAAUAGUUAAAGAAGCAAAAGAAAGAACAAACAAUGAAAAGAGUGAGCCAAGAGUAAGGACUAGGAGUAGUUUGAAAAAAAAUUAUGAAGGACACGCCACAAUACUUAAAGAUCAAUUAAAUGAUGAAACCUCAGUGAUUACUGAUAUUGACAAAAACUUGAAUAAGCCCAAUAUUUCUGAAGAAUCUGUGGAUGUUGGUCAUAAUAUAAUUUCUUCUACAUCUAAAGAUUUAGAUGCUGAGGUAACUAUAAGUGUUUCAAUUGACAAGAUUUCUGAACAAUCUUCACAGGUUAUUUCUUCUAGUGAAGUUAACUCUACUGGUGAAUCUAUUAGUAAACCUGCAGUUCAAAAUUUAUUUCAAGUUUUAAAUAAUCCUAAAUUUAUGUCACUUAUAAAUGAGCUUCAUAAUGAAAAUGUUAUUGAUAAAUUUUGCAAUAUUCUUGAAAAUAUAAAGAACAAUGAAACGAGAGUUGAGUCUGAUGUAUUAUGCAAAGUUAAUAAAAGUAAAACAAAAAGUAAACGUAAUAAAAUAAAAGCUAAAAAUAUAAAAAAACAAAAAGUUCCCCCAAGUGAUAAUUUAUCUAAUCAAAAUGAUUCUAAUUCUAAGGAUGAUAAUAGUUCAGAUGAUGAUAAUUUCAGUUCCCUUAAAUCAACUUUUAAAAGACCUAAAAAUUUUAUUAAUAAUUCAAGUGAUAAUGAUAGUGCAGCUAGUUCUUCUGAAAUAAGUUCUGAUAAAUUAAAAUAUUCUGAAACAGCUAAAUUAAAAGAACUUAAGGUAGUUAUACCAAAACUAGAAAAAAGUGAUCCCUUAAACUUUAUUAAAACCCAAGAUAAAAGGAAUAUAUUUAACAAAUGUUCUUUAAAAUCUUCUAAACCAUUUGUAGGCCCAUUAAGUGUUAAAUUAGCUAAACAGAAAUUGGAAAAUAAACUUAGCGAUAAAGAAAUUAUUAAGAACAGUUCACCUAAUUACAUACCAAAAGUUAUACUACAUAAAGUUAAUGAACCAAGUGCUGAAAAUGUAAUUAAUACUACAAUUUUGAUUUCUAAUGAUAUGAAUCAUAAAAAUGUUGUAUCUGAAGAUAUUGAAGGUAUAUCAAGCACAAAUGAUAAAAAAUUCAAUGACACAUUAAUACUUGACAAUAAAUCUGAGCCAAAGAAGGUUAAACCAAAAAUGACUGAGUUAGACAAACUUCAUGCAGAUAUUAAAGAAAUGUAUGACAGUGAAGCUGUUAUUAAUGCUCCUAAUGUAAGACAUUGCAGAACUAAUAAAGUAGUAGAUUACGGUAGUACGAGUUUUGGAACAAUAACUGAGAAAAACAAAAUUGAAGCUGAUUUAUCUGAAAUGAAGAUUAAUGAGAAUGUAUCAGUAUCUAUCCCUGAACUUAGUAUAAAAUUAACCUCUAGGAAAAAAAAGCGUGGAAGAAAACCAAAAUCAAAAUUAUUUGUUAAGAAUAAUGAUAAAUCUAAUGUAGCUAAAAAUAUUGAUCAAUUACAAUCAAAUAAAAAUUAUCAAAACUUGUUAGAAAUAAAGUUAAAAAAAAAAAAGAAGUUAUCAAAACUUAAAAUUGCCAAAAAAAAUAAAUUAAAAAAUAGCAGGUUGUACAAAUUAAUUAAAAGUAAAUCUACAGUGUAUGUGCCAAAUUCUGAUAAUAUAACAAUCACUAAUUCAAUAAAUGUAAAAGAAAGUCAUCCAAUAGAUUACACAGAUAAACAUUAUUUUCAAGCACCUGGUUACACACUUGAAUGCAAGUUUUGUGAUAAUUAUGAUAGCAAUCAAGAUAUUGUGAAACAUUACAAAGAUUGCCAUCCACAAGAAGAAAUAUUACCUUCACGGAUACCAAAAGAUUGUGCUAACAGCCUAAUUAAUUAUUCUAUUCAAGAAAACUUAGGUUUUUGUAACAGUGAAGAGUAUGACGAAAGUAAAUCAUCAAGAAAUGAACAAGCUAUUGAUACAUAUUUUACAUGUAUAUUUUGUCAUAUAACUUAUUAUGACAUAGUAAAGUUUUAUGACCAUAUUACUUCUCAUACGGGUGAGUACAGAUAUAAAUGUAAAACCUGUGAUAAUGUAUGUGUAAAUGAAAAGGAAUUGGAAGAGCAUGUAAAAAUUCAUUCUAAUUAUGAUACGAGUGGUGGCAUAACUAGUCUCGUCUACCCAAUUCCUGUUCAAUGUAAGAAAAUUUUUGGUUAUUUAUGUCCAUUUUGUAACUAUAUUCAGUUAAUUUAUAAUAAUGUGGUUAAACAUAUGAAUCAACAUCAUUUUUCUGAAGAUAAAAAACAUAAUGGCUUAUGGACCAUAGUUCGUGUAAAUAUGUCAUAUGAUGAUAUGAAUGCACUUCAUAAUAAAAAUUUUGAAUUAACAAAUAUUAUUGGAUGCCAACCACCCUUACAAUUUAUAGGUACUCAAAAUAUGAUAGCACCUAAAGUUAAAAGUGGAGUACAUGAUUUAAAAACUCAACCUACAGUAUCGGAACUUAUUGCUCAAGCUAAGCAAAAACUACUGGAAAAUCCGGUAUCUAUUAAAAAUGAAAUAUGUGAUGAUGAAGAAUUAUCAGGUGAAACAAACAAUAUUAACUUAUAUAAAGUAUUUCAAUUAUCACAAAGUCGAGAACAUUGUCUAGAAAAUGAAUCUUUAGAUUCAAAACUACAAAUGAAUGUAUCUCCAAAAUAUGUUUUGAAAAAUAAUUUGACAAAAUUUUCUCUUGGAAAUAUAUGUUGUGAACAGAAAGAUUCUAUUCUCUUAUAUCGUUGUAAAGUACCAUCUUGUUGCAAGAGUCCUUUCUCAUCAAUGUUUUUCAAUGAAUUUUUGAAACAUGUUGAAACACAUCAUGAAUUGGAAAAUUGGAAUGGAAAAUGUGAUUUUUGUGUAAUCAGCUCAGAUAAAAAUUCUUCUAAAACUGUAUACUUAUCAAAUGCUUUACAACAUUUAGUUAAGUGUCAUCUUAUGUUAGAUGAAGGACAACAACUAAGUAUAUCUACAAUAAAUGAUAUAAGCAGUACUCAAAUUCAAUCAAAAUAUCAGAACAAUUCAACAAAAACAACUCAAGAAAAUAAAUCAAUUGUAAAAAUUCGGGUUCGCCGUUUAUCUGGUGAUAUACUUUCAGUAAAUCGUGAAAAUAAAAAUGAUAAUGAGGAAAAAAUUGAUCGCGAGAUGAUUAAAGAUAUUUCUAAUAAGUUUUUCUUAAAAAACAACUCAAAACAAGUUAUAAUUGCAAGUAUCAAUUGUGAAAUUAUAAAUAAUACAUUAAUUUACAAAUGUAUGGAAGUAUCCUGUGUAAAUGAAUUUUUAACAAAAUUCUUUAAUGAGUUUGCUACUCAUAUUAAGCAGAAUCACAAAUUAAUUGCCUGGGAUGGCAUGUGCAAUAUUUGUGGGCAUGGAUGGUGGACAAAUUUUAAUCAGUUAUACUUGGAACAUGCUCUUGAUCAUUUGAUUUUCUAUCACUUAAUAUUAUGUAAUGAGAAUUGUAAUUUUAUUCCCAAAACAAAUGUAACAGAAAACCUGUGUGUUAAUCCACCUAACUGCAAAAUAUUAGACAUUGAAUCUAUAAGUAGUAUCAAAGAGGGAACUUUGCAUAUUAAAGAAAAUACUGAAGUAUUUGUAGAAGACCCAUGCAGAAACUUAUCAGAGAGUGAAUUAUUUUCAGCAUCAACAUCUAAGCAAAUAGUGUCAGAUUCAUCACAUCCUGAUAAUGAUUCAGCACAUUCAAUUAUGAUAGUUGAUGUAAAAAGUUUAAAGAAGGGAUGCAGGUAUAAGAAAAAUAUAGAAACAAAUAAAUCUGAUAGUGAAAGUGACAAUUUGAGUAUGUGGUUGAAAGUUCCCACUAGCUGUGAAAGUGUAACUUCUAACUAUCACGAACAUCUUAAAUUGGGACAACAAGUUAUAAAUAAUGGAGUACCAAUUAAUAGAAAUUAUAUUUUAAUAGACACAAGCUACAUAAAAAAUUAUUUUAAACAUUUCCGUGAGUUGCCUGUUAAUGUAAUGAAAACUCAGUUAGCAUUUAAAGAGAUGAUGUCAAUGCCAAGACUUCUUGGCCUUUUUAAAUGUUUCGAUAGAACAUGUACAAAAAUUUUCACUUGUAAAGAGCUUUUUAAGUUGCAUAUGAAGCUGCAUUAUUCUAAUUUAGAAAAAAAAAAAAAAAGUCAAAUGUACAAUGUUGAACAAUUUAAAAAGUGUACUUAUUGCUUUAGAACAUUUGAUGACGUGGAUUCUCUUGCCAAUCAUAUUGCAGAAAAUUAUACUUUCUGUAAUUUUUUUUGCAAAUAUUGUUUCUAUCGAGCUUAUACUGCAUCUCAUGUUUUAGUACAUCAAUCAAAAUUCCAUAGCACAGCAAAGCCUUCAAUAUUACAAUUGGAGCACGAUAAUCAAAGUGAACCUUCUAAAGAAAUCUUAAAAGCUGUGGAUUAUAAUAAAUUUGUUUUACCUUAUGUGUGCAAUGUUGGGUGCUGUUCUUUUUCUUGUUAUGUACUUGAAAAUUUUAUAUCUCACUCUAAUGAUGAGCAUCAACAAUGUGAUAAAUAUAGUUGUUAUAUGUGUGCUAAUCAAGAAAACGGAGAUGGUUUCUUUGCUUUACACCCCAAAAAAAUGAUUAAACAUUUCAAACUUCAUAAUAUAAACAUGUACCAGUGUAUAUUUUGUUUGUUUGGUACUGAAAUUUUGGAUACUAUGGUGAUUCACUUAUCAAUGGAACACUUUGAAUAUGAUUCUAUAUGUUUAGAACGUUGUUUGAAAAAUAAUGUAAAUGAUUCAACAAACAUAAAUAAUUUGAAAAUUGUAAGAUUAAGUAAGGCUAUAGAAAAUGGCCUUGUACAAACUAUUAAUUUACCAGCUGGUACCAAUUCAUUACCAGAAAUUAUGCCUCAUAGAACUAAGAAAAGGCGACUACAAUGUUCAGAUGUACUUUCAGCUGCUAUGAAAUCUGCUCGCAUAAAUGAUAUUCAGACUGAAACUAAUCCAAUUGUUCUAUCAAUUACUGAUCAAACAUCUUUAGUUAACAACACAACACUUGAUACAAAUUCUGUCAGUGAAAUUGUGGCCAACAACCAGAUAAAUCAAAAUAAUUCCAAUAAAUCAUUGCAAAUCUUAGAUAUAUGGUGUAAUAAUACUGAACCUAAAAAAGGAAAUGAUGAAAUUAUUAUAAUUGAUGAUGAUGAUGAUAAUAAAAAUUAUUCUAGUGAUAAUCACUACAAUGUCAUUACAUCAUGUCCAAAAACAAUAAAUGAAAUUUCAGCCAAGCGAAAGUGUUUAAUGACUUAUUCAAAUAAAACUCCAGAAAAUAAAAUUAUCAAAACUAAAAUGUUAAUAAACACAGCUAAACCCAGAUUAUCUAUUGACAAAUUAUUUCUUUGUGAAAAAUGUGAUAAGUUAUUUUUAAAUAGUAAAGAAUUUCAAGAACAUUUAACUCAUUGUCCAUUUUGGAAUGAAGAUGGAAACAAAUGUGCCCACUGUACAAAAACUUUCAAAACUUCAACUAAUUUAAUUGAACAUAUAAAACUUCAUGGUCCUAAUCGUUUUAAAUGUUUCACUUGUGAUUAUCAUGUUCCAACUCAAAAUUUAAUAGAAAAACAUAUGAGAAAGGAACAUAACACUAUAGACAUUAAUUUAAUGCCAGUCAAUGCAAAUAAUUCUAAUUAUGAACAUGAUCAGUUUGUAGCAUACCCAAUUAAACAAACAACUAAAAAAAAUUCAAAAUUAAACAUUUAUAAAUGUGAUGAAUGUCCAAUGCAAUAUGUAACAAAAACUCAAAACCAAAAAUUGAUUGUUGAACAUUUAAAAACUGUGCAUAGUGUAUUUGAUUAUGAAUUAAUUUUGGUUAACUUAUCAAGUGAUGGUAAUAGCGAAUAUUUAGCCAAAAUAAAAAAAAUUAUACCAGAUGUCCAAUCACAACCUCAGCGUUUGGUUUCUAAGAGAAAACAUUCAAUUGACAACUAUAUUGAAGUUGUUAAAGAAUCUAAAAUAAACAGAACUGCCACUGAAAAGUCCAAAGGCUUAUGUUUUUCACCAGAUACCAUUGAUGAUAUACCAAAGUCCCACAUAUUUCCAGAAUUAAUCAGUUGUUCAGUUUGUAUGUACAGUACCAAAGUACGUUCAAAUCUUCUCAUGCAUCUUACUGGACAUAAAAAAGGACAGGAAAAUACAACUAAGGAAAUUGUUAAUCCAGUACCUUCUAUUGGGAAAUCUGAGCUUAUGUUUGAUAAAAUGAUUAAUUUAUCUGCUAGUUCAUUUGAAGCUAUGACAACUGAAAAAAUCAAAAAUAAUGAGUUGAAUAAAAGAAUAAUUGAAAAACUAAUACCAAGUGAUCAAGAUUUAUCAAUGAUUCCUGAUUUUGUGCCAAAGAAUAAAAGAUAUAAGUGUUCAAUUCCUAGUUGUUCAUAUUUAGGUAUAAAUGAAGAUAUGUUGAAAAAACAUAUUUCAAUUCUUCAUCCUGAGUAUCAAUGUUAUAUAUGUCCACAUUGUCCUGCAAUGCUUGAUAGAGUAGUUGAUUUGAAUAAAAUUGGAUUUCAUCUUUUGCAUCAUAGCGAAAAUUUGUUCAAAUGCCAAUAUUGUGAAUAUAUCCAUUAUGACAGAAAAGAAAUAAAAGCUCAUAUUAGAAACACUCAUUUAGUUGAAACAACAAAUGACAAUCAAUCUCAUAUCUAUAUUUUGAGACAACUUAAUGCUGAUCAAAAUACAAUUAUUAAUAGUGUCCCAGAAUUAUCAUCUGUUUCUGAAUGGAUUUGUAAUAUAUGUAGUUCUGGUACUAAACUUACUGAAUAUGAAAUUAAAUCUCAUAUUCUCAUAGUACAUGGUUUGUCAAAUAUGUUUAAAUGUCCAUUGUGUCAAUUUGAACAUAAUGAUGAUAAUACUAAAGUAUUUGAGGAGCAUUUCAAAACAAAACAUAAUUCUGUAGCCAUUAAAUGCUUAAAAGUUUAUGAAAAAAUAUGUGAAGAUCAGUUAGUUAAUUCACAAUGUUUAUUGGAAAAUAAUCAAGAGCAACAAGCAUUAGAAAGUAUUGAAUUUAGAAAUAUUGCCCCAAUGUGCCGUGGAAUUCCUGUUGAAUUAAUAAAUCAAAGCAAGUUACACAAGACUCGUACUGUAUCCAAAAGCCCAUUAAAAAUGCCUAAAACUUCUUCAACAGUAGCUCGAAAAAAUAAAAUAUUGACAGGCGUUUUCAGCAAAGAUGAUGAUCUGGGAAAUCUAUCUUUAAGUGGUCAAUAUUCCUGUCCUAAAUGUAAUGAUUUUUACACAUCUAAUGUAGUUAAAUUUCGUGAACAUCUUUGCAAAGAUAUAAAUUAUAAAAUAUGGAAAUGUCUGGAAUGUUCUGAAAUUUCUGAUUCACCAAGAAAAAUGGCUUGGCAUGUAAAAAAACAUAAAACUGUUGGACUCAAAUAUGAAAAAAUAGAAGACUUUGAAAAACUAGAAUGGAUUGAAGAAGUUAUUAAACAUCAAACUCUAUUACUAGAAAAAUUACAAGAUAUUCCCAAAAAGAAUUCUUUUAAUGAAGAACUGCCUCUUGUCGCAAACGUUUUUCAAGAAAAUAUCCAUAUAUCAGAAUCUCAACAACAAAAUAUUGAAAUUAUUACUCUAGAUGAUACUGAUGAUGAAUAAACUAAUAAUAUAUCUUUUAUUCAAAAUGAGAUACUUAGAGGAGGGAGAAGAAUUUCCUUACUCGUUAUAUAUGUAUAACAAUAUAUUAUUUAUGACAAAAAAAAUGUUAACAUUAGAACUCAUUUAAUAUUCUAAGAUUUAAAUUUUUUUAUUUUUCAUCUGAGAUUUCAAUGUUACUUUGAAGAGAGGGCAGGUGUAAUCAAAAUUCUUAGGUAAUGAAGUUUGUUAAAACAUAGAAUUUAAGACUGAUAUCAAGGAUUUCAUUUUUUUUUUUUAAGUAUGUACCUAAUGUUAAUGUUUAUGUACAUGAUUUUUUACUCAAAUUAAAAGUGUACAUUUUCAACCAAUUUAAUGUAAUAUAUGGUAAAAAUAUGUUUAAAGACUGUUAAGUUA